rnacentral:snoRNA from 1 species
UAGCCAUGACCAAGGCUUUUAGAAUGCAGUUUCUCAUUUGCUGUGGACAUGACCAUAAAAAAUUUUCCCAGUAGGCUUUCUAUAUGCUACUUUGUUAGCAGUCAACCUACUGGGAACACUG